GAAGAACUCUCAGGAAGUUUGAAAAGAAGCAAGCCGUCCGCAUUCAUUCAAUCUCACAUCCGACCACUCAAACUAACCCUAACCCUGCAUUCCAUUGUUUCCAUCAUGGGAAAUCUAAGUGACGCUCUCAAAUUAACAGGAACAUUGCGCAGAAGAUAUGUCCUGGGCAAUGGACUGAGAAAACGGGCAGAGAUUUGGAGGUAUUUGUGCAUGCUCUAUAUUACAGUUGAAAAGUGUAUAACAGCUUUCCAAUGCUGUUACUUGUGGCGAACACCUUUUUGCUUGAGUUGAUGCGUGCCCGCAGGUGGAAUAAUGUCACAUGUCACACACAUUUUCUGUUGUUUUGAUUUAUUUACUCAUUCAUCAUUUUAUGUGCGCACCUCUCCUAAUCAACCCACCCAUUAAAUAGACAGGCACAAUAGCACCAUCUGCUGGCACAAAAAAUACAUAACAAUAAACUGCAAAACCCCAAUCUGGCUCCUACAAAGUGUAUGUGACAAGAUGAUUAACGUUUGCUUUUGUUAAAUCAGGGCUUCCCCAGCCAGGACUUCGGCUCAGACUGUGGCAUAUUCAUGUUGAUGGUAGGUCAUAACGAGCUGUAAUGCACAAAUAUUGUAUCUAGAAUAACUUUCCAACAUGGACUUUUUUAAAGUUAUCUCACAUGUUGUCUCAUAAUUUUUUUUUAAAGUCUGCCAUGUACAUCGUUAUGGAGUCACAGUUUGACUACUCAGUUGUAAGUACUUUUCAACACGCAGUGUCAUCCUCAAGAUUGUAUUUUGUAUUGUGCACUAAAAUGAAAUACAAACAACAAUUUCAGCAUGACAUGCCUGUUUGGCGGCGAUGGUGGUGCCUGUUGCUCCUGGAGAACAAUUCUUUGAACAGGUAGACAGUUUAAGUAAACUAGAUGUCCUAAUUAACUGGAAGACAAUCAAUAUAUUGUACUUAAAGACAUAUUGUCAUUACAGUUGUGGGAAAAUCUUCGCCCACUGGACCAAAGAAUGUCAAGAGCUCAUUGCUGGAAAGCAUACUCCGGUCUUCAGUCUAAAGAGGAAGGCAGAGCAGCAGGACACAGAGGUUAGGAAAUUGCCUUGUAAAAACAGUAUUAUCUCAGUGGGAGUCCUUCAAAAUGCACACAGUUGUAUGGAUCAACAUUGUCUCGAUGUAUUUGGUAAUUGAUGUUACUUUUCAAAUUGCCUUGUCAAGGAAACCAUGACGCAGACGGUAUCGGAUGUCCAAAGAAUGUGCAUGGCAGAUUCAAUGCAAUUCUGUGUCUACCAGACAUCGAACAACACAGGAGAGAGGUGUGUUGCAGACUCAAUUUAAUAAAUGCAAUUAUCGGGGCCUAUUCAGUGAUUUUCCAUGAAGUGACCACUUUUACAUAUAGUUUAAAUGCAUGAAUCAUGCAGGAAAAUUAUUUAUACAUUCAAAUGUGCUGCAGAGGUAUAAUCAAUUGGACAGCGUGUUUGUUUAAUAUUAUGUUUGUCUCUCAUUUGAUCAGAUUGCUUUACCCUGAGGUAAACGUCAUAAAAUGGGUCCAGUGCAAGACGUGCAGGGGCUGGCUGCAUCAGGAUUGUGCUGGGAUUGAAAUGGAGCGGUUUGACUGCGGGUGCGAGGACUCCAUUGAGCAUCCUCGGUGUAACAUAAUUUAUCAAGGAAACAUAGUAUCAGUCAAAAAUACGAGGCUCAAAGGAUGAAAAAAUGAGGGCUUGCUCUUUUCUUAUUUCUCUGCAGGAUCAAGGAUGCUGUUGACAGUUGAGGAAUUCAUGCUGUCUUUUCUAAGACACAGAUCAAGGUUGCUUUUGAAUGCACUAUCAGUUGUUAAAGCCACCGUUUCUUUUUCAGAUGAUUACAUUUUUGUCUCUUGCUCUUUGGUUUCAGACAUUACACGAUGAUCUACUGUCUGGAAAGAUCCGCUCCAACAGAAUGUUCCUUUGGAGGAAUCCCGCCACCUCACUCCGACUAAAGCAGCAUCUUAAGAUAAGGACACUAAGUUGGAGUGAGCAGCGCGUAAGUAAAAAUGCCAUCCAUCAUGAGUAUUUUUACUCUCAGGGGUGUUACAUUUGAAAGGUGUUUACUUUCUGUGUUUUUCUUCAAUAGAUGUUCGAGCUCCUGCGGUUCAUUGAGGUGGCAACAAACAUUUCUAAAAAAAUAAAGAGAGGCGAGAUUUAUCUGCUUGAUUUCGUUUUUGACGUCAUGCUCCCAGAGGUGAGUAGAUCAAACUAUAUAGCUUGCUUUGAAAAAUGAUGAUAUUGUUAAGAGGUUGUUCUUAUUCAUUUGGAAAGCUCAAGAACAACAAUUAACCCAUACUGCAUAACUUCAAUUGUUCACAUUAUUUGACUGUUUUUCAGCUUUUGAUCAAAGCACUGAAGGAGCAUGGCAUCAACCGGUUCAGAGCAGAGCUGAUGAUGGCCUGUGGCAACGUGUUUUAAGCCCCCCACCACACCGACGGCAGUGCUGAAUUUUGUAUAUAUAUAUAUUUUUUUUACUGUUCACAAUUUUGUUUGGAAAAAAUUAAAGAAAUCUUCAAAGCA